rnacentral:misc_RNA from 1 species
GAACGUAGCGAAAUGCGAUACGUAAUGUGAAUUGCAGAAUUCAGUGAAUCAUCGAGUCUUUGAACGCACAUUGCGCCCUCUGGUAUUCCGGAGGGCAUGCCUGUCCGAGCGUCAUUGCUGCCCUCAAGCACGGCUUGUGUGUUGGGCUCCGUCCCCCGAUCCCGGGGGACGGGCCCGAAAGGCAGCGGCGGCACCGCGUCCGGUCCUCGAGCGUAUGGGGCUUUGUCACCCGCUCUGUAGGCCCGGCCGGCGCUUGCCGAUCAACCAAAUUUUUAUCCAGGUUGACCUCGGAUCAGGUAGGGAUACCCGCUGAACUUAAGCAUAUCAAUAAGCGGAGGA